UACGGGGGGAGCAAGCGUUGUUCGGAUUUACUGGGCGUAAAGGGCGCGUAGGCGGCCUCCGCAAGUCGACUGUGAAAUCUCCGGGCUUAACCCGGAAAGGUCAGCCGAAACUGCGGGGCUAGAGUGCAGAAGGGGCAACUGGAAUUCUUGGUGUAGCGGUGAAAUGCGUAGAUAUCAAGAGGAACACCUGCGGCGAAGGCGGGUUGCUGGGCUGACACUGACGCUGAGGCGCGAAAGCCAGGGGAGCGAACGGG
rnacentral:rRNA from 1 species